rnacentral:misc_RNA from 1 species
GAUGAAGAACGUAGCGAAAUGCGAUAAGUAGUGUGAAUUGCAGAAUUCAGUGAAUCAUCGAAUCUUUGAACGCACAUUGCGCCCCUUGGUAUUCCAUGGGGCAUGCCUGUUCGAGCGUCAUUUGUACCUUCAAGCCUUGCUUGGUGUUGGGUGUUUGUCUCGCCUCUGCGCGUAGACUCGCCUCAAAACAAUUGGCAGCCGGCGUAUUGAUUUCGGAGCGCAGUACAUCUCGCGCUUUGCACUCAGAACGACGACGUCCAAAAGUACAUUUUUACACUCUUGACCUCGGAUCAGGUAGGGAUACCCGCUGAACUUAAGCAUAUCAAUAAGCGGAGGA